rnacentral:rRNA from 1 species
GGACGAACGCUGGCGGCGUGCUUAACACAUGCAAGUCGAACGGUGAAGGGACCGGUUUUUGCUGGUUCUGGAUGAGUGGCGAACGGGUGAGUAACACGUGAGUAACCUGCCCCCUUCUUCUGGAUAACCGCAUGAAAGUGUGGCUAAUACGGGAUAUUCUGCGCCUGCUGCAUGGUGGGUGUGGGAAAGAUAUUGUUUCGGUGGGGGAUGGGCUCGCGGCCUAUCAGCUUGUUGGUGGGGUGAUGGCCUACCAAGGCGGUGACGGGUAGCCGGCCUGAGAGGGUGGACGGUCACACUGGGACUGAGACACGGCCCAGACUCCUACGGGAGGCAGCAGUGGGGAAUAUUGCACAAUGGGCGCAAGCCUGAUGCAGCGACGCCGCGUGAGGGAUGGAGGCCUUCGGGUUGUAAACCUCUUUCGCCAGUGAAGCAGGCCUGUCCCUUUUGUGGGUGGGUUGACGGUAGCUGGAUAAGAAGCGCCGGCUAACUACGUG